AGAAUCAAACCUACUUCCAAUUUCAAUGUUCAUAAACCAAAAACCAUGAGAAUUAAUCAUCUUACUACCUCCGUUUCAGAAAGUUUUUUACGCUUUGGAAAAUGUGUCCAAAGUAUGAAAACUUUGAUCGUAAAUUCCCACUAUUAUAUACAUCAAAAUGUUACAUGUAAGAUCUUGUGAGAUUGGUCUCGUUAUUCAUUUUGAGAAUAUUAACUUUUUAUAAUUUUUUUCCAUACAAAAUUGGAUAUAUUAACAGUCAAACAAUGUAUCGGAGUCCGUGCAAAUAGUAAGUGUAAAGAUCUUUUUGAAACGGAGGAAGUAUAUCCCUGUAAUUUUGAAUUUUGAACAACCACCACCACUAACCACCGUGAGCAACACCCCUGCAAACCAAUGCACCACCAAGCCCCGUCAUCUGGUAGCUAUGGACGACCACCAGCACCACCUCCACACUGCAAACCCACCCCCCCUCGUCUUUCUCUUCUUCUUCCCCGACUCCCCUGCCUGUCCCUCCUUCUGCGCGACCCACCGCCCGAAAAUAAGUCAGCAGCGCCCAUUUAUGGCGUCUGCCUCGCCUGCGCCGACGCGCCACCCAGGCAUAGCCGCCGCCCCUCCUUCCUUCCUCCCUUCCUUUUCUCUUUUCUCCUUCGUACCCUGCUUCCUGUUUCUUGCUUUGCUUCGUUCCAAUUUUUCCAAGAGAACCAAACUUUGGAGCUUUAUUUCUUCUAAUCUAAUUAUUUUAAGUCAGCCCAUUACCAACAAAUUCAGCCCAACAUUUACCUAAGUGGAAAUCGGACUCGGAGCUCAGAAGGAACGAACCAAGGAAAAAGCUUAGUAAAUCACAGAAUUGAGGUACUGCGGGGAACGAUGGAAACGAUUAGUGGCGAGGAAUUUCACCAUUAUAAUAUUCACUUAGUUUAUGCUUUAAGUUUUAAUAGUUUAAUUAAAGAUUUUUAGUAAGUUAUGUACUUUUACCUUGGGAAUAUAAAACGAUUAUUAUGUUAAUUUUGGAGUUUAAUAGCUUAUGAUUGAUGGUUGCCUUGUAAUUCCCAAGAGGGAGUCACGGCAGGUAAUGUCCCGACCAAAUUAGGUUAAUUCCACUGCUAAGUAUGCUUUAAUAUUUGAAUUAGAGGUCGGGGCGUUACAUUACUUUACUUUUUUAUUCAAACAAGAAAUAUUACGUUUAUUUAUAAUGUUUUCACUUUUAUCAAAAAUCUGACAUUGGGAAAAUGAGAAAUAUUUAAUGUCUAAUGGAUUUAAUUGGUUAAAAUAAUAUUUGGGCACAAAUUCUGAUAGAAUAUUAAUGCAUUAUGUGAUAAUAUAAAAAGAAAUGUAAAGAACAAAAUGAGAUACCCAAAAUGAAAUACGUAAAAAACAAAAAGAGACGGAGGGAGUAUCUCUAAUUCACUUCUUUAUUAC